GGGCGAGUGAAGGGAUCAGGUCAAUGUGUCUGGCUGCUAACCAGAAGGUUGGUGGUUCAAGCCCACCCAGGUUUA